rnacentral:rRNA from 1 species
UUUAUGGAGAGUUUGAUCCUGGCUCAGAGUGAACGCUGGCGGCGUGCCUAAUACAUGCAAGUCGAACGGACAAGUAAGAGCUUGCUCUUAUGAGUUAGUGGCGCACGGGUGAGUAAUGUAUAGUUAAUCUGCCCUACACUGGAGGACAACAGUUAGAAAUGACUGCUAAUACUCCAUACUCCUUCUUAACACAAGUUAAGUCGGGAAAGUUUUUUCGGUGUAGGAUGAGACUAUAUUGUAUCAGCUAGUUGGUGAGGUAAUGGCUCACCAAGGCUAUGACGCAUAACUGGUCUGAGAGGAUGAUCAGUCACACUGGAACUGAGACACGGUCCAGACUCCUACGGGAGGCAGCAGUAGGGAAUAUUGCUCAAUGGGGGAAACCCUGAAGCAGCAACGCCGCGUGGAGGAUGACACUUUUCGGAGCGUAAACUCCUUUUGUUAGGGAAGAACAAUGACGGUACCUAACGAAUAAGCACCGGCUAACUCCGUGCCAGCAGCCGCGGUAAUACGGAGGGUGCAAGCGUUACUCGGAAUCACUGGGCGUAAAGGACGCGUAGGCGGAUUAUCAAGUCUUUUGUGAAAUCUAAUGGCUCAACCAUUAAACUGCUUGAGAAACUGAUAAUCUAGAGUGAGGGAGAGGCAGAUGGAAUUGGUGGUGUAGGGGUAAAAUCCGUAGAGAUCACCAGGAAUACCCAUUGCGAAGGCGAUCUGCUGGAACUUAACUGACGCUAAUGCGUGAAAGCGUGGGGAGCAAACAGGAUUAGAUACCCUGGUAGUCCACGCCCUAAACGAUGUAUACUAGUUGUUGCUGUGCUAGUCAUGGCAGUAAUGCACCUAACGGAUUAAGUAUACCGCCUGGGGAGUACGGUCGCAAGAUUAAAACUCAAAGGAAUAGACGGGGACCCGCACAAGCGGUGGAGCAUGUGGUUUAAUUCGAAGAUACGCGAAGAACCUUACCUGGGCUUGAUAUCCUAAGAACCUUGUAGAGAUACGAGGGUGCUAGCUUGCUAGAACUUAGUGACAGGUGCUGCACGGCUGUCGUCAGCUCGUGUCGUGAGAUGUUCGGUUAAGUCCGGCAACGAGCGCAACCCACGUAUUUAGUUGCUAACAGUUCGGCUGAGCACUCUAAAUAUACUGCCUUCGUAAGGAGGAGGAAGGUGUGGACGACGUCAAGUCAUCAUGGCCCUUAUGCCCAGGGCGACACACGUGCUACAAUGGCAUAUACAAUGAGACGCAAUAUCGCGAGAUGGAGCAAAUCUAUAAAAUAUGUCCCAGUUCGGAUUGUUCUCUGCAACUCGAGAGCAUGAAGCCGGAAUCGCUAGUAAUCGUAGAUCAGCCAUGCUACGGUGAAUACGUUCCCGGGUCUUGUACUCACCGCCCGUCACACCAUGGGAGUUGAUUUCACUCGAAGCCGGAAUACUAAACUAGUUACCGUCCACAGUGGAAUCAGCGACUGGGGUGAAGUCGUAACAAGGUAACCGUAGGAGAACCUGCGGUUGGAUCACCUCCUUUCUA